rnacentral:lncRNA from 1 species
UUGACAUUCGUGGAACAAAUACUCAUUGAGAGCCUUUUAUGUCCCAAGCACUGUGCUGGGGAAUGCAGUUAGAAAAUAAUGAGUCCAACCAGACCUGGUUCCUGCCUUCAUGGAACUUACAUGUAGGAAAGACGGAAGCUGCAACUUAUCCAGCUCUGCAGGAGUGGUGUGAGGCCUUUGACGCUCAUCCUGACUCCUGACUGAUGAAUUAUUUGGUCGACUGAGGCAGAAUCACCUUUACUGGAGCAUAAUCUGUUGGAGGCAGCAUCUCCUGAAGUCUCCAUGAGUUGCUGGAAUGAAGAAAUGUGUCAUAUGUGAACCAAAACACAUGUAAAAAUUGUUGACAAUAGCACCAUUUGUAAAAGACUAAAACUGGAAACCACCAAAUGAUCAGCAACAGAGAAUAAAAAAUUAUGGCUUAUUUCUACAAUGGAUUGCUAUGCUGCAGUAAGAAUGAAUGAACAGCAGCUACACACAACCGGUAUGGAUGAAUCUCAUGAACACAAUGUGAAGGGAAAGAAGGCAGAAACAUACUUAUCACACCCUCCAUUUAUAUAAAACUCAGAGACAAAACAAAUUUAUGGUGUUAGGAGUCAGGUUCCUUUGGGGAAGAGAGAGGGAGUAGUACCUGAAUGGAGGGGGCAUGGAGGGGGCUUCGGGCAUGCUGGUAAGAUUUUUGUUUUGUUUUUAAUCUGAGUGAUAUAGGUGGUAGUUACUUUUUGAUGUUACAUCGAGCUGUACACUUAUGAUCUGUUCAUGUUUCUGUAUGUAUUUUAUACUUCAAUAAAACAUUAGUGAUUUGUGAAUACUCAAGAUUCUUUUUAAGUCAUCAUUGAUUGUUUGGAUCUUCUGUUUCCCUGAGAUCAGUUUUUCAAGAGCUUGUUUUGAUCUCUUUAUUUUAUUUUGCUAUUGCAUUUCACUUGUCCAUCAAUUCCAUCCAUUUCCACUUAAG